GUGCUCACUUCGGCAGCACAUAUACUAAAAUUGGGACAACAUAGAGAAGGGUAGCAUGGCCCCUGCGCAGACGACAAACAAAUUUGUUAAGUGUUCCAUAUUUUU